rnacentral:rRNA from 1 species
AUACGGAGGGGGUUAGCGUUGUUCGGAAUUACAGGGCGUAAAGCGCGAGUAGGCGGUUUGCUCAGUCGGAUGUGAAAGCCCAGGGCUCAACCUUGGAACUGCAUACGAUACUGGCAAACUAGAGUGUGAGAGAGGAUAGUGGAAUUUCCGGUGUAGCGGUGAAAUGCGUAGAUAUCGGAAGGAACAUCAGUGGCGAAGGCGACUGUCUGGCUCAACACUGACGCUGAGGUGCGAAAGCGUGGGUAGCAAACAGGAUUAGAUACCCUAGUAGUCC